rnacentral:rRNA from 1 species
AUAUUGGACAAUGGGCGAAAGCCUGAUCCAGCAAUGCCGCGUGAGUGAUGAAGGCCUUCGGGUUGUAAAGCUCUUUUGUCCGGAACGAAACGGGUAGCGUGAAUAUCGCUGCCUACUGACGGUACCGGAAGAAUAAGCCCCGGCCAACUACGUGCCAGCAGCCGCGGUAAUACGUAGGGGGCGAGCGUUGUCCGGAUUUAUUGGGCGUAAAGAGCUCGUAGGCGGUUGGGUAAGUCGGGUGUGAAAACUCAGGGCUCAACUCUGAGACGCCACUCGAUACUGCCCUGACUCGAGUCCGGUAGGGGAGCGUGGAAUUCCCGGUGUAGCGGUGAAAUGCGCAGAUAUCGGGAGGAACACCAGUGGCGAAGGCGGCGCUCUGGGCCGGAACUGACGCUGAGGAGCGAAAGCGUGGGUAGCAAAC